AUAUUUAAUAUAGGGCAUUUCGUUCUAUUCCUACUAAUGAUGGACGAGCGACUAAAAAUAUCAACUAGAAAACAUGCAAAUGUCCACAACAAGUGGGAGGUUAUGAGUGUGGAUAUUAUGUGAUGCGAUACAUGUUUGAUAUUGUGACAAAAUAUUCUACUGUUGAUAAAUUAGAUGAGGUAUUUGAAAGCAAUCCGUAUUCUACCAA